AACGAACGCUGGCGGCAGGCUUAACACAUGCAAGUCGAACGCAUCGCAAGAUGAGUGGCAGACGGGUGAGUAACGCGUGGGAACAUACCCUUUUCUACGGAAUAGCUCUGGGAAACUGGAAUUAAUACCGUAUACGCCCUACGGGGGAAAGAUUUAUCGGGGAAGGAUUAGCCCGCGUUGGAUUAGCUAGUUGGUGGGGUAAAGGCCUACCAAGGCGACGAUCCAUAGCUGGUCUGAGAGGAUGAUCAGCCACAUUGGGACUGAGACACGGCCCAAACUCCUACGGGAGGCAGCAGUGGGGAAUAUUGGACAAUGGGCGCAAGCCUGAUCCAGCCAUGCCGCGUGAGUGAUGAAGGCCCUAGGGUUGUAAAGCUCUUUCACCGAUGAAGAUAAUGACGGUAGUCGGAGAAGAAGCCCCGGCUAACUUCGUGCCAGCCGCCGCGAUAAAAC
rnacentral:rRNA from 1 species